rnacentral:rRNA from 1 species
UACGAAGGGUGCAAACGUUGCUCGGAAUCAUUGGGCGUAAAGCGCACGUAGGCGGCCUGUUAAGUCGGAUGUGAAAUCCCUCGGCUCAACCGAGGACGUGCAUUCGAAACUGGCAGGCUCGAGUAUGGAAGAGGGUCGCGGAAUUCCCGGUGUAGAGGUGAAAUUCGUAGAUAUCGGGAGGAACACCAGUGGCGAAGGCGGCGACCGGGGCCAAUACUGACGCUGAGGUGCGAAAGCGUGGGGAGCAAACAGG